rnacentral:rRNA from 1 species
UUUAUGGAGAGUUUGAUCCUGGCUCAGGACGAACGCUGGCGGCGUGCCUAAUACAUGCAAGUCGAGCGGAUCUUUGGGAGCUUGCUCCUAAAGGUUAGCGGCGGACGGGUGAGUAACACGUGGGCAACCUGCCCUAUAGUUGGGGAUAACUCCGGGAAACCGGAGCUAAUA